rnacentral:rRNA from 1 species
CUAAAUACUACCCAGUGACCGAUAGCGUAUAGUACUGUGAAGGAAAGGUGAAAAGGACCCCGGGAGGGGAGUGAAAGAGAACCUGAAACCCUGUGUUUACAAGCUGUGGAAGUUCUUUAAAUGAACAACCGCGUACUUUUUGUAGAACGGUCCGGCGAGUUACGCUUACUGGCAAGGUUAAGCACUUCAGGUGCGGAGCCGUAGGGAAACCAAGUCUUAAGAGGGCCAGAGUCAGUAGGAGUAGACCCGAAACCGGGUGAUCUAUCCAUGUCCAGGUUGAAGUUGCCGUAAAAGGCAAUGGAGGACCGAACCCACAUCCGUUGAAAAGGGUGGGGAUGAGGUGUGGAUAGGGGAGAAAUUCCAAUCGAACCCGGAGAUAGCUGGUUCUCCUCGAAAUAGCUUUAGGGCUAGCCUCGAUUUAGUCUUAUGGAGGUAGAGCACUGAAUUUCCGCGGGGGCGUCAAAGCUUACCAAAGAAUAUCAAACUCCGAAUGCCAUGUAGAUGAUGAACGGGAGUCAGACUGCACGAGAUAAGUUGGGCGGUCAAAAGGGAAAGAGCCCAGACCUUCAGUUAAGGUCCCCAAGUGCGCGUUAAGUGGAAAAGGAUGUGGGAUUUCGAAGACAACCAGGAUGUUGGCUCAGAAGCAGCCAUCCAUUCAAAGAGUGCGUAAUAGCUCACUGGUCGAGAGGUCCUGCGCCGAAAAUGUCCGGGGCUGAAACGCGCCACCGAAACUAAGGAACCGAAAGGUUGGUAGAGGAGCAUUGCAUGCGGGAAGAAGCAGUACCGUAAGGAGCUGUGGACUGCAUGGAAGAGAGAAUGCCGGAAUGAGUAGCGAGAAUAAGGUGAGAAUCCUUAUGGCCGAAUAUCCAAGGUUUCCAGAGUAAAGCUGAUCUGCUCUGGGUAAGUCGGGGCCUAAGGCGAGGUCGAAAGACGUAGUCGAUGGAUAACAGGUUGAGAUUCCUGUACCGCAUAUAAACAGAACUGUGGGGACGCAUGUGGAAAGCAUAAGCCGGGAAUGGAAAGACCGGUACAAGCGGGGUAGGUGUGUGACAGGCAAAUCCGUCACAUAAGCCGAAGACGUGAUGUGGAGCGAAAUUUAGUAGUGAAGUAUGUGAGCCAUGUGCCGAGAAAAGCCGCUAUUGUUUUAUAUGUGCCCGUACCGUAAACCGACACAGGUGGAUGAGGAGAGAAUCCUAAGGCCGGCGGAAGAAGCAUUGUCAAGGAACUCGGCAAAAUGGCCCCGUAACUUAGGGAUAAGGGGUGCCUGGGAAACCAGGCCGCAGAGAAUAGGCUCAAGCAACUGUUUAGCAAAAACACAGGUCUAUGCGAAACCGAAAGGUGAGGUAUAUGGGCUGACGCCUGCCCGGUGCUGGAAGGUUAAGAGGAGAGGUUAGCGCAAGCGAAGCUUUGAAUUUAAGCCCCAGUAAACGGCGGCCGUAACUAUAACGGUCCUAAGGUAGCGAAAUUCCUUGUCGGGUAAGUUCCGACC